rnacentral:rRNA from 1 species
CCUACGGGUGGCAGCAGUGGGGAAUAUUGCGCAAUGGGGGAAACCCUGAUGCAGCGACGCCGCGUGAGCGAUGAAGUCUUUCGGUAUGUAAAGCUCUAUCAGCAGGGAAGAAAAUGACGGUACCUGACUACGAAGCCCCAGCUAACUACGUGCCAGCAGCCGCGGUAAAACGGAGGGGGGAAGCGGUAUUCGGAAUUACUGGGGGGAAAGGCAGCGUAGACGGCGGUGCAAGCCAGAUGUGAAAGCCCGGGGCUCAACCCCGGGACUGCAGUUGAAACUGUGCUGCUAGAGUGUCGGAGAGGGAGGCGGAAUUCCUAGUGUAGCGGUGAAAUGCGUAGAUAUUAGGAGGAACACCAGUGGCGAAGGCGGCCUGCUGGACGAUGACUGACGUUGAGGCUCGAAAGCGUGGGGAGCAAACAGGAUUAGAUACCCCAGUAGUC